rnacentral:rRNA from 1 species
CUACGGAGGGUGCAAGCGUUAUUCGGAAUCACUGGGCGUAAAGGACGCGUAGGCGGGUUGGCAAGUCAGAUGUGAAAUCCUACAGCUUAACUGUAGAACUGCAUUUGAAACUGCUAACCUAGAGUAUGGGAGGGGGAGAUGGAAUUAGUGGUGUAGGGGUAAAAUCCGUAGAUAUCACUAGGAAUACCGAAAGCGAAGGCGAUCUCCUGGAACGUAACUGACGCUAAGGCGUGAAAGCGUGGGGAGCAAACAGGAUUAGAAACCCUAGUAGUCC